rnacentral:rRNA from 1 species
AUAGCGUAUAUUAAAGUUGUUGCAGUUAAAAAGCUCGUAGUUGAACUUCAGACCUGGCUGGACGGUCUGCCUAACGGUAUGUACUGUCUGGCUGGGCCUUACCUCUUGGUGAGCCGGCAUGCCCUUCAUUGGGUGUGUUGGGGAACCAGGACUUUUACCUUGAGAAAAUUAGAGUGUUCAAAGCAGGCCUACGCCCGGAUACAUUAGCAUGGCAUAAUAAAAUAGGACGUGCGGUUCUAUUUUGUUGGUUUCUAGAGUCGCCGUAAUGAUUAAUAGGGAUAGUUGGGGGCAUUAGUAUUCCGUUGCUAGAGGUGAAAUUCUUGGAUUUACGGAAGACUAACUUCUG